CUCAGUUCACUUUCAUGUCUCGGGAACUGUUGCCAAGCGUUAAAGGCAUGGGAAUUCAGCUUUUGAUCGGUUUCCUCUUGAUCUUCCCUGCCUGUGUCUUUUCUCAGACCCUUGUGGAGACCGGUGGUGGGGUGAAGAGCCCAGGAGGGAUUCUACAUCUAACCUGUACUGUAUCCGGAUUCUCACUAACAAGCUAUGGAGUGCACUGGGUCCGUCAACCUCCAGGAAAGGGACUGGAGUGGAUUGUAGUUAUCUGGGCUAGUGGAAGCAUUAGCUAUAACCCCACGCUCCAGAGUCGACUAAGCAUCACAAAAGACAACUCCAAGGGGCAGGUGUUCCUUCAGAUGAACGGCUUGAAGCCUGAAGACACUGGCACCUAUUACUGUGCAAGACAGACACACUGA